GACGAACGCUGGCGGCGUGCCUAAUACAUGCAAGUUGAGCGAUGAAGAUUGGUGCUUGCACCAAUUUGAAGAGCAGCGAACGGGUGAGUAACGCGUGGGGAAUCUGCCUUUGAGCGGGGGACAACAUUUGGAAACGAAUGCUAAUACCGCAUAACAACUUUAAACAUAAGUUUUAAGUUUGAAAGAUGCAAUUGCAUCACUCAAAGAUGAUCCCGCGUUGUAUUAGCUAGUUGGUGAGGUAAAGGCUCACCAAGGCGAUGAUACAUAGCCGACCUGAGAGGGUGAUCGGCCACAUUGGGACUGAGACACGGCCCAAACUCCUACGGGAGGCAGCAGUAGGGAAUCUUCGGCAAUGGACGAAAGCCUGACCGAGCAACGCCGCGUGAGUGAAGAAGGUUGUCGGAUCGUAAAACUCUGUUGGUAGAGAAGAACGUUGGUGAGAGUGGAAAGCUCAUCAAGUGACGGUAACUACCCAGAAAGGGACGGCUAACUACGUG
rnacentral:rRNA from 1 species